CACUCCUACGGGAGGCAGCAGUGGGGAAUAUUGCACAAUGGGCGCAAGCCUGAUGCAGCCAUGCCGCGUGUAUGAAGAAGGCCUUCGGGUUGUAAAGUACUUUCAGCGGGGAGGAAGGCGAUAAGGUUAAUAACCUUGUCGAUUGACGUUACCCGCAGAAGAAGCACCGGCUAACUCCGUGCCAGCAGCCGCGGUAAUACGGAGGGUGCAAGCGUUAAUCGGAAUUACUGGGCGUAAAGCGCACGCAGGCGGUCUGUCAAGUCGGAUGUGAAAUCCCCGGGCUUAACCUGGGAACUGCAUUCGAAACUGGCAGGCUAGAGUCUUGUAGAGGGGGGUAGAAUUCCAGGUGUAGCGGUGAAAUGCGUAGAGAUCUGGAGGAAUACCGGUGGCGAAGGCGGCCCCCUGGACAAAGACUGACGCUCAGGUGCGAAAGCGUGGGGAGCAAACAGGAUUAGAUACCCCGGUAGUCCC
rnacentral:rRNA from 1 species